rnacentral:rRNA from 1 species
UGCUCAAUGAUUAUUAAAUAGCCGCAGUACUCUGACUGUGCAAAGGUAGCAUAAUCAGGUGGCUUUUAAUUAGAGUCUGGUCUGAACGAAAAUAUGGGUAGUAACUGUCUUAGCACAUUUUUUCGAACUUAUUAAACAAGUGCAAAUGCUUGUAAUUUAACAAUAGACGAGAAGACCCUAGAAACUUGGACAAGUUUUUGUUGGGGCGACAGAAUUACACUUAACUAAUCUUAUAAUACACGACGCGAUGUUGAAAGAAUAAGUUACUCUAGGGAUAACAGCAUAAUUUCAAUAGUUUUGUGACCUUCGAUGUUGGACCUAGGGUACUAUACCCCUUUAAGGCAANGGAUAUAUUAUGCCC